CAGUAGCCGCGGUAAUACAGAGGGUGCGAGCGUUAAUCGGAUUUACUGGGCGUAAAGCGUGCGUAGGCGGCUUUUUAAGUCGGAUGUGAAAUCCCUGAGCUUAACUUAGGAAUUGCAUUCGAUACUGGGAAGCUAGAGUAUGGGAGAGGAUGGUAGAAUUCCAGGUGUAGCGGUGAAAUGCGUAGAGAUCUGGAGGAAUACCGAUGGCGAAGGCAGCCAUCUGGCCUAAUACUGACGCUGAGGUACGAAAGCAUGGGGAGCAAACAGGAUUAGAUACCCCAGUAGUCCCUGUCUCUUAUAU
rnacentral:rRNA from 1 species